rnacentral:misc_RNA from 1 species
UAGAAGGAGGCACAAUCUGUCUUCCAA